ACUAAAAUCUUUCACGACCGCUAAUGAGCACAGUUAUCCAUUUUAUUGCAAAUGAAUCGACUUUAUAGAGUAGUUAGAUACUAUAUUUAAAUUGACUAAGUUAAUUUGAACUACAACCAGCGCACCGAAGAUAUUUUCAUUUGAGCCCAACAUUACUGAGAGAAAGAAAGCUCAAAACUGCUUCAAUAUAGAAAUAAGAGAAUGUAAAUAUUGGAAAGGCAUAUUCAUAGAUACUCACAAGUUCGAGGAAAACGUACUUGAAUUAGUCGAUUAAUUUGAAAUGAGAACUUAAUUACAAUUGGUCAAAUAAUGGAUUGUAGGUUUGGGGUGAAUUACCAUUUCCGAAGUGUAAAGUAGCAUUAGAUUAUGUGAUAUUCGCAGAUAAAGCUUCUGCUGAUAAAGUAGCAUCAAAUUUUUCAGAUAUAAUGAGCCAAAUGGCUCAAGAUGUGAGUUACUGCUGCUUUUAAAUUAGCAUUUUUCAGCUCUUAUUUCUUAAUUACGUUGCUAUAGCUUUAAUUUGGAUUCUAUAGUUUUGCUCUCUCUCUCACUCUAUGUAUGUGUAUACAAAGGAUAUUUUUUAGAUGCUUCAAAUGAUCGUCCGGUUGGAAUUCACUUCACAUUUCUGUGAUGUGAAGAGUAUGUUAUUCUUUAUAUUUUCAUUCUUCUUUCUCUUUGAAUUGUCCAAAUGACUUAGGGUUACUAGUAA